rnacentral:rRNA from 1 species
AUUGAACGCUGGCGGCAGGCUUAACACAUGCAAGUCGAGCGGGGUGAUGGUGCUUGCACUAUCACUUAGCGGCGGACGGGUGAGUAAUGCUUAGGAAUCUGCCUAUUAGUGGGGGACAACAUCUCGAAAGGGAUGCUAAUACCGCAUACGUCCUACGGGAGAAAGCAGGGGAUCACUUGUGACCUUGCGCUAAUAGAUGAGCCGAAGUCGGAUUAGCUAGUUGGUGGGGUAAAGGCCUACCAAGGCGACGAUCUGUAGCGGGUCUGAGAGGAUGCUCCGCCACACUGGGACUGAGACACGGCCCAGACUCCUACGGGAGGCAGCAGUGGGGAAUAUUGGACAAUGGGGGGAACCCUGAUCCAGCCAUGCCGCGUGUGUGAAGAAGGCCUUAUGGUUGUAAAGCACUUUAAGCGAGGAGGAGGCUCUUUUGGUUAAUACCCAAGAUGAGUGGACGUUACUCGCAGAAUAAGCACCGGCCAACUCUGUGCCAGCCGCCGCCGUAA